rnacentral:tRNA from 1 species
GGCUCUGUAGUGAAGUUCAUGUUGAGUUGCAAGCUCAUUGAUGCACGUUUGAAAUGUGCCGGAGUCU